rnacentral:rRNA from 1 species
CGGUUUAAUCGGAYUCAACGACCGGGNAWACUCACCGGGACRACGACAGCUGAAUGAUAGUCGGGCUGAWGACUCURCUUGACUAGCUGAGAGGAGGUGCAUGGCCGUCGUCAGUUCGUACUGUGAAGCAUCCUGUUAAGUCAGGCAACGAGCGAGACCCACGCCAACAGUUGCUAGCUNGUCCUCCGGGAUGGANAGGACNCUGUUGGGACCGCCUCUGCUAAAGAGGAGGAAGGAAUGGGCAACGGUAGGUCAGCAUGCCCCGAAUUGUCCGGGCUACACGCGGGCUACAAUGGGUGGGACAAUGGGUAUCGACACCGAAAGGUGAAGGCAAUCUCCUAAACCCAUCCUUAGUUCGGAUUGUGGGCUGCAACUCGCCCACAUGAAGCUGGAAUCCGUA